UACGUAGGGUGCAAGCGUUGUCCGGAAUUAUUGGGCGUAAAGGGCUCGUAGGCGGUUUGUCGCGUCGGGAGUGAAAACACCGGGCUUAACUCGGUGCUUGCUUUCGAUACGGGCAGACUAGAGGCAUGCAGGGGAGAACGGAAUUCCUGGUGUAGCGGUGAAAUGCGCAGAUAUCAGGAGGAACACCGGUGGCGAAGGCGGUUCUCUGGGCAUGUCCUGACGCUGAGGAGCGAAAGUGUGGGGAGCAAACAGG
rnacentral:rRNA from 1 species